UGGGGAAUAUUGCACAAUGGGCGCAAGCCCGAUGCAGCCAUGCCGCGUGUAUGAAGAAGGCCUUCGGGUUGUAAAGUACUUUCAGUCGGGAGGAAGGUGGUAAGGUUAAUAACCUUGGCAAUUGACGUUACCGACAGAAGAAGCACCGGCUAACUCCGUGCCAGCAGCCGCGGUAAUACGGAGGGUGCAAGCGUUAAUCGGAAUUACUGGGCGUAAAGCGCACGCAGGCGGUUGAUUGAGUCAGAUGUGAAAUCCCCGGGCUUAACCCGGGAAUUGCAUCGGAGACUGGUCAGCUAGAGUCUUGUAGAGGGGGGUAGAAUUCCAGGUGUAUCGGUGAAAUGCGUAGAGAUGUGGAGGAAUACCGGUGGCGAAGGCGGCCCCCUGGACAAAGACUGACGCUCAGGUGCGAAAGCGUGGGGAGCAAACAGG
rnacentral:rRNA from 1 species